UGACUGUUGUGGUUUGGAAGACUAGUGAUUUAGUUGUUUUGUAAUGAGACCAACAAUAAAUCACAAUCUUCUAGGACUACGGCAGUCA
rfam:Biomphalaria glabrata isolate BB02 unplaced genomic scaffold LGTN_random_Scaffold1659, whole genome shotgun sequence.